rnacentral:lncRNA from 1 species
CUGUCUGUCUGUCUGUCUGUUGUCUGUCUGUCUUUCAGCAUUGAUGGUGUAAAGGCAGAACUUUGCUAACUUCAAUGUCAAUUUUCAGAUUGACUUUUGUUUGUUCAUAUGGUUUUCAUUUUUUUGUUUGUUUGUUGAUUAGUUGUUUGUUUUUUGUUUUUUUUGGGGUUUUUUUUUUUGUUUUGGUUUUGAGACAAGCUCUAACUGUGUAGCCUUGACUGACCUCAGUAUUUAGAACACUCUAUAUAGAGCUGGCUGCCUGAAUUCAUGGAGAUCUGCCUACCUCUAUCUCCCUAAAGGUGUGUACUACCAAGCUCAGAAUGGGUUUUAUAAAAAUAACCCAGAAGGGGUGAGCUUUUGUGAUCAGUCCUCAAAGCUUAUCCUAAACAAAGAGAAACCAAAACCAAAGGAUUCCUUUGUAUGUGUUGAUAACAUUACAGAAACUGAACAAGAUUCAUCAUGUGAGACCACAAAAUCAGAAUAUUAAAUCAAGGAUUAAAUCAUGCCUAUUUUAAAGCUAGCAUAACAACUUUUUGGUGUAUCUGUUGAGAGGAUGGACCGAAUUCCCUAUUACCAGGUGCUUCCACAUGAGGGGACUCUGAGGGCUGAAGAUGCAGCUCAAGGAUGCCAUGCUCAUCUGGACCACACCAGCCCCUGGGUUGGAUCCCAGCACAGGAAGAAAGAAACAAGCAAACAACACAGAACAGUGAACUGUGAGAGUCACUGGGCGGUCACUACAUUCUUGCCUAGCCUGGGUCUGGCCUGUGUGUUUGGGACGGGUCUGAGAAAGCACGGUUUUUGUUGUAUGAAAUAAGUGUGUAAUGGGUUUGUACUUCUCCCUGGAACACUCAUCGCUCUAAUUUUACUAAAUACAUUUUUUUACGUUCACGAAUAUAAUACAUACUAUCAUAAUAAAAUUAUACAAAUGUAUGUUAAGAAUUAAUGACUUCCACAGUUCCACUUGCUAGAGAUUAGAUUGUAAUAUCUAGAAUCUGUAUGAGAUGUAGGGGCUCCUACCUAGAUCUUAGCUGUUGAGGUGUAGCAAGGUCAUUUGCAGUUGUCUGUCCUAUAUUUGGACAACCAAAGCUACCUUGGACCUUGUCUGAAAAGAUUAAUAUGCAAUUAACUGUUUGAAACUAUAUCAUAAAAUAUUUUCAAUUAGUAUUUUAAUUAAACAAUUGAAAAUGAAGGCUUUUCCAAUGGAAUAUGGGCCAGUUUCUGCAGCCCUCAUGCAUUGCCGAUUACAUGCACACACAUGUACUCACCCUUACUUAAAUAUUACAUCCAUGUGACAGUCUUGUGGGUCUUAUAUUUGAGCCAUGCAUUUUGAAAUUCAUGGAGCUUAACAAAUAUCUUUGUGGCUACAUCUUCAUCCUGGUUCUUUGCUCACUAUAUAACCUGUACUCUGCCCCCAGGGAAUGUAUUUGUCUGAACCCCCAUCCUCCCGGGCAUCCCCCACCACCUCUCACUUACCUGGGAGAAGGAGUAGGAGGCCUGAAAUGAGGACUUGAAGGGACAUCAUGAUGGUGACCUGCAGGACAAUGAGGAGACACUCUGGUUGGCUGUGGCCCUCACCACACUGUGUCUGAGAAGGUCUCAUCCUGACUGUCUGAAUCACAUAGGCUGCUCUGCUGGGGCCUCCUGUCUUCCAAAACACUCCUCUUUCCUGCUCCUUCCCACACAUAGCCUUCAGUCUCAUUCUGGUCUCAACACAAGGAAGACCAGAAAAAUUGAAGUCAGGGAGAAGAGUCUGUUCCCCUGGUAGAAUGCUAAGCAAGGAGCAUCCGUCUCAUGGCCAUACUUGCCCUGUGGUUGACUGCAGGCUCUUUCCGCUCAGUAGCCACAGUGGCUAGUCCCAAAGUCUCAGUCAAGUUCAAUAUUAGAAACAUUGACUGAGGAAAAUGUGAACCACUGGACCUAUGCACAUUGUCCCACAGACGUCAAAGACAAGGGUUUUGAAGGUUUUAACUUAGUUCCACUGUCAGCACUCAUAGAGCAAGGCUGGGGGAGGAUCCAGAAGUACUACUCUCGCCAGGCAUGGUGGCGCAUGCCUUUAAUCCCAGCACUCGGGAGGCAGAGGCAGGCGGGUUUCUGAGUUCGAGACCAGCCUGGUCUACAGAGUGAGUUCCAGGACAGCCAGUCUCAAAAAAGGGGGGGGGGCACUCUCACUAGAGCAAUAACAUUCGGCUGCUACAACAGACCAUUGGUCAAGAGUGCCAACUGCUCUUACAGAAAACUUGAAAACUGGGAGAGGUUCCCAGCACCCUGGUUGAGAGGCUCAUAGCCACUAACACCUGAGAUACACAAGCAUCAGACAUUGCUUAGACAGCUGUGCUCACAUCACCACAAACAUAUAUAUAUACAUAAACACACAUACAGAUACAUAAAAUUAAAAAUAAUAAACAUAAAUCUUUUAAAUGAUAUGCGUAUAAUAAUUUUAGUAGCAUAGAUUUAUAAAAAUUCCAAGGUGUCCAGCUUAAAAUAGAAAAUAGUAACAUAAGACUACAACUUUACUCAUUUUAUAUAUUUGUUUACUGUUUUUAAC